GUGCACAUUUCAUUGUCUUUUUUCUUUAUGUCAGGAGAAAAGAUAUUUCUGAUGUGCUAAAUAAACCUUUGGAGGUAAAUUAGCAGCAUGACUUAAUUCAGCCAUUGCUGUCAGUCACCUUCAUACAAGA
rnacentral:snoRNA from 1 species